rnacentral:lncRNA from 1 species
UUGGUGGUCUAAUAUUAUGCACAAUGUGGUUUGCCCAAUCUUCAAGUAGAGUUUGAAAUAAUUUUUCCAAGUUCCACAUACCAUUUUCAACCAUAUCAUUGAAAUUGUUAAUGUCUUCAUCAACAACAAACUGUGUAGCCAGUUGGAAAUAUAAGGCUCCCAUCUCGGUCCAAUUAUCGAACCUGAAUUGUGCUGAUCCCAUUCUCAAUUUUCAGUAUAUUUGAUGCUCAAUCAAGUCCCUGUAUUCAAGCAUUUUUUCCAAACGUAGGAUCCAGCAUUCCACGAUACAAUUACAGGAUUUAAUUUCUUGCAAUACUUUUGAAACAUAAAAUGCACUCCAUUAGCUGGGUUUUGUCCUAAUAUUCCACCACAAUUUGCAGAACAGUGCCUUGGAUACAUCAUGAAGGGAUCUAAAACCUAUACCCCCUCCUCAUAAGGUUACACAGGUUAGUCCAUGAUGACCAAUGUCUUGUGCUUCCUCCCACAUUGCUGUCCAGAAAAAUUUGGCAAAAAUGCUAUGUAAUUCCUCAUAUGGCAUACACAGUUUAGUCCAUGAUGACCAAUGUCUUGAGCUUCCUCCCACAUUGCUGCUCCAGAAAAAUUUUGAAAAAAUGCUAUGUAAGUUUUUGAUCACAUAGCUUGGUGGAUUUACUGCUGACAACAUACGAAUUGGGAUACUCUGCAGGAGAUUUGCGAUCAAUACAGCCCUUCCCUAUAGAUAGGAGUUUGCCUUUUCACGACUGCAGUUUGUCCAUAACCUUUGUAAUUAAUCCCUGGUAAUUAUCGCUUCUUCUUCUGGCAUAAAACAUAGGACAUCCAAGAUAUGUUAUAGGGAAACAUUGUUUUCCUAUACCAGUAUUCCUUUCCACCUUGUUAAUCACCUCAUUAUUCGUUAAAUGAUGCAAAUAUAUGGCAGAUUUGGCUUUGUUCACCAGUUGACCAGAUGUUGAUUCAUAAGCUUGGAGAACCUCCGUCACUAGUCGCAAUGAAAUUGCAUCAGAUGAGCAGAAAAUGAUUGUAUCAUCUGCAUAUGCAAGAUGGUUUAUUUUUCGGCUCCAUUUUGGUAGUCCAAAUCCACGAAAAUACAGGUUAGUAUGAUGUGAGUUCAAUCCUCGAGACAGUGCUUCUGCUGCUAGAAUGAAUAAGGUUGGUGACAGAGAAUCUCCCUGCUUAAUUCCCCUAGUUGAUCUGAAAAAACCAUUUGGCUGGCCAUUUAUAAGAAUAGAGUACCAAUUAUUCCCAAUCAAAUCAAAUAUCAAUCCAAUAAAAUCUUCAGAAAAUCCCAUCUUUCUUAGCAUUUUAGUCAGGAAUAACCAUGAUAAUCUAUCAUAAGCUUUUGUCAUGUCUAGCUUAAUCACAACGUUUGGACCUGCUUUUGUUCUUUACCCUAUAUCCUUAAUGAUUUUUUGAGUUAGCAGUACAUUCUAAAUGAUGCUUCUUCCAAAAUUUUGGGCCUGCUUUUGUUCUUAACUUGAUAUCCUUAAUGAUUUCUUGAGUUAGCAGAACAUUUUCAACGAUGUUUCUUCCCUUCACAAAACCUGCCUAUUCCUCUAAGAUUAUGCUUGGUAACAAUUCAACCAACCUUUCAUGAAUGACCCGCGAGAAAAUCUAUAAACAAAAUUGCUAAGACUGAUUGGUCUCAUGUCUGCAAAGGUAAUCACUUCUUUUUUUGGUAAUCAAACCAGGUUUGUGUGCGUCACACUCUUUGGCAGCUGGUGACCGCAGAUGAAAGACUUGACCAUGCCGACUACAUCUUCUUCAAUGAUUUUCCAGCAUGAUUGGUAAAAGGCUCCAGUGAAACCAUCCAGUCCGCCUGCUGAGUCCCCAUUCAGCCCCAUGACUACUCUCUUCACUUCCUCAUUAGAAGGCAAAGUCAUUAAUCUCUCAUGUUGAU